rnacentral:rRNA from 1 species
CCUACGGGGGGCAGCAGUGGGGAAUAUUGCACAAUGGGGGAAACCCUGAUGCAGCGACGCCGCGUGAGUGACGAAGUAUUUCGGUAUGUAAAGCACUAUCAGCAGGGAAGAAAAUGACGGUACCUGAUUAAGAAGCCCCAGCUAACUCCGUGCCAGCAGCCGCGGGCAUACGGAGGGGGCAAGCGUUAUCCGGAUUUACGGGGGGAAAGGGGAGCGGAGACGGCAGCACAAGUCUGGAGUGAAAUGCCGGGGCUUAACCCGGGAACGGCUUCGGAAACUGGGCAGCUAGAGUGCAGGAGAGGUAAGUAGAAUUCCUAGUGUAGCGGUGAAAUGCGUAGAGAUGAGGAGGAACACCAGUGGCGAAGGCGGCUUACUGGACUGUAACUGACGUUGAGGUGCGAAAGCGUGGGGAGCAAACAGGAUUAGAUACCCCUGUAGUC